UACAGAGGUCUCAAGCGUUGUUCGGAUUCAUUGGGCGUAAAGGGUGCGUAGGUGGCGCCGUAAGUCAGGUGUGAAAUUUCGGAGCUUAACUCCGAAACUGCAUUUGAUACUGCGGUGCUUGAGGACUGGAGAGGAGACUGGAAUUUACGGUGUAGCAGUGAAAUGCGUAGAGAUCGUAAGGAAGACCAGUGGCGAAGGCGGGGUCUCUGGA
rnacentral:rRNA from 1 species